GGAGGAGAGAUUCUCAGGACGAUGGAGGUGGGUACAGUUUGGCGCCUUCCUUGAUAAACACAUGGAACCUCUUCCUUAUGUCUGUAUAUCGCAUCUUGACUAUUGCUGUUGCUAAAUAUCUCACAUAGUGACUUUUUUCCCUGCUGAACACUGGCACUGUUCGCUUCACCUCCCUCCACUGGGUAGCCAUAUUAAGAAGUGACAGAGAGCCUCUAUCAGAACGCCUGACACGUCUCUAAAACAAAUGAAAAGUGUAACUGAACUUACCGUGGAAAGUCGUGAUUGGCGGCCUCAGGAAUGGCCUCACGAGUGGCUGCGCUGAUUGGAGGGAUCACCUGUAUAGAUACCAUGAAAUCCUAAUGUGCCACUACCCACAAAUCCCAGUUAUAAACGAAAGAAAAUAAUUUCAAUGUUUAUUUUUGAUUGGUGCAGAGCUCGCUGGACUUAGAAAAUGUCGAAUUUCUCCACACUCGAGUGCCAUUACGGCCAUACAAGACACGUGCCCCCAUUCUUUUUACGUUUACGGCAAGGUCACCGAACUUUCUAUAUGACAUGUCCGCUUGCAGGCAGCCCUGAACCAGCCUCAGGUGGCCACCCGGUGUGAAGAGGUAGCACAGAUACUGUCUGAAGCCACCACCAAAGAUGCCGGCUACAUCCUCAGGGCCACGGUGGAAAGCAUCCUUGUACAGGCCACUCCCACCACAAU